GAUUGCUUCCCUUGGCUAAUCACUGUAUAUAAAAGUGCGGGUGAUUUGUCUCUUCAGAACACCACAUACUUUCACGAUUACUGCCUGCUGCUUUCUGCAGUACCUAAGGGGACAACAUCAUGAGAGGUUGCCAAGGAAUCGGUCUUGUUGUGCUUGUUGGCACUGCCAUAGCGGCGCUAAGUAUGUGCCCUCUUGCAACCAGCCUGGAAGUCAUGUUCAGGCCGCGCACGGAAGAGAUUGAAGAUGCAGCUCAAUGAACCACCGGAACAUUUAUGUUGAGUUGGCCUGUUCGGCAGACAGUAAACAAAAGCUCGAUUGAGCCUUGAAAUAAAGCAUUGAGCCUGAAUA